rnacentral:rRNA from 1 species
GACGAACGCNGGCGGCGUGCCUAAUACAUGCAAGUCGAGCGAAGUUUUUCUGGUGCUUGCACUAGAAAAACUUAGCGGCGAACGGGUGAGUAACACGUAAAGAACCUGCCUCAUAGACUGGGACAACUAUUGGAAACGAUAGCUAAUACCGGAUAACAGCAUUAACUGCAUGGUUGAUGUUUAAAAGUUGGUUUUGCUAACACUAUGAGAUGGCUUUGCGGUGCAUUAGCUAGUUGGUGGGGUAAAGGCCUACCAAGGCGACGAUGCAUAGCCGACCUGAGAGGGUGAUCGGCCACACUGGGACUGAGACACGGCCCAGACUCCUACGGGAGGCAGCAGUAGGGAAUCUUCCGCAAUGGGCGAAAGCCUGACGGAGCAACGCCGCGUGAGUGAAGAAGGAUUUCGGUUCGUAAAGCUCUGUUGUUAGGGAAGAAUGAUUGUGUAGUAACUAUACACAGUAGAGACGGUACCUAACCAGAAAGCCACGGCUAACUACGUGCCAGCAGCCGCGGUAAUACGUAGGUGGCAAGCGUUGUCCGGAAUUAUUGGGCGUAAAGCGCGCGCAGGUGGUUUAAUAAGUUUGAUGUGAAAGCCCACGGCUCAACCGUGGAGGGUCAUUGGAAACUGUUAAACUUGAGUGCAGGAGAGAAAAGUGGAAUUCCUAGUGUAGCGGUGAAAUGCGUAGAGAUUAGGAGGAACACCAGUGGCGAAGGCGGCUUUUUGGCCUGUAACUGACACUGAGGCGCGAAAGCGUGGGGAGCAAACAGG